rnacentral:ncRNA from 6 species
CUUGGACUGAAGGGAGCUCCC